rnacentral:rRNA from 1 species
AGGCAGCAGUAGGGAAUAUUGGUCAAUGGGCGAAAGCCUGAACCAGCCAUGCCGCGUGCAGGAUGACGGCCUUCUGGGUUGUAAACUGCUUUUAUCAGGGAAGAAAACGGCCAUGCGUGGCAGAUUGACGGUACCUGAAGAAUAAGCACCGGCUAACUCCGUGCCAGCAGCCGCGGUAAUACGGAGGGUGCAAGCGUUGUUCGGAAUUACUGGGCGUGAAGGGCGCGUAGGCGGCCUGAUAAGUCAGAUGUGAAAGUCCACGGCUCAACCGUGGAAGUGCAUUUGAAACUGUCAGGCUUGAGUAUCGGAGGGGAAAGUGGAAUUCCCGGUGUAGAGGUGAAAUUCGUAGAGAUCGGGAGGAACACCGGUGGCGAAGGCGACUUUCUGGACGAAUACUGACGCUGAGGCGCGAAAGCGUGGGGAGCAAACAGGAUUAGAUACCCUGGUAGUCCACGCCGUAAACGAUGUGAACUAGGGAUAGGGGGUGUUGAUCCCUCCUGUCCCGCAGCUAACGCAUUAAGUUCACCGCCUGGGGAGUACGGUCGCAAGAUUAAAACUCAAAUGAAUUGACGG